rnacentral:rRNA from 1 species
UACGUAGGGGGCAAGCGUUGUCCGGAUUUAUUGGGCGUAAAGAGCGUGUAGGCGGCUUUACAGGUCCGUUGUGAAAACUCGAGGCUCAACCUCGAGACGCCGGUGGAAACCGUAAGGCUAGAGUCCGGAAGAGGAGAGUGGAAUUCCUGGUGUAGCGGUGGAAUGCGCAGAGUAUCAGGAAGAACACCCGUGGCGAAGGCGGCUCUCGUGGAACGCAACUGACGCUGAGACGCGAAAGCGUGGGGAGCAAACAGG